rnacentral:rRNA from 1 species
UACGUAGGGGGCUAGCGUUGUCCGGAUUUAUUGGGCGUAAAGAGCGUGUAGGCGGCCAGGUAGGUCUGGUGUGAAAACUCGAGGCUUAACCUCGAGAUGUCAUCGGAAACCAUCUGGCUAGAGUCCGGAAGAGGAGAGUGGAAUUCCUGGUGUAGCGGUGAAAUGCGCAGAUAUCAGGAAGAACACCAAUGGCGAGAGCAGCUCUCUGGGACGGUACUGACGCUGAGACGCGAAAGCGUGGGGAGCGAACAGG